rnacentral:rRNA from 1 species
CAUGCCGUAAACGAUGAGUGCUAAGUGUUGGAGGGUUUCCGCCCUUCAGUGCUGCAGCUAACGCAUUAAGCACUCCGCCUGGGGAGUACGAUCGCAAGAUUGAAACUCAAAGGAAUUGACGGGGGCCCGCACAAGCGGUGGAGCAUGUGGUUUAAUUCGAAGCAACGCGAAGAACCUUACCAGGUCUUGACAUACCAUGACAAACUAAGAGAUUAGUCUUUCCCUUCGGGGACAUGGAUACAGGUGG